GACAGAGGAUGCAAGCGUUAUCCGGAAUGAUUGGGCGUAAAGCGUCUGUAGGUGGCUUUUUAAGUCUACCGUCAAAUCCCAGGGCUUAACCCUGGACAGGCGGUGGAAACUGCCAAGCUGGAGUACGGUAGGGGCAGGGGGAAUUUCCGGUGGAGCGGUGAAAUGCGUAGAGAUCGGAAAGAACACCAACGGCGAAAGCACUCUGCUGGGCCGACACUGACACUGAGAGACGAAAGCUAGGGGAGCGAAUGGG
rnacentral:rRNA from 1 species